GUAUCAAAAGACGACACUCGGCUAGGAAGACUAUGUAGCACAAUCUGUGUCACGAAACAUUGAAAAGGCACCAUAUAUAUCACUCGAGAGGGAUGUGUGACCCCAAAGAAACAGUAGGAUAGCAAGACUUACAACUUUGUAAGGACUCGGGACUUUCCUCAAGUAGGUGCUCGACAAAGUGAAACAAUGUAGUUCAAAUAAAAAGAAGGACGUGGGUUCCAUUAAAUGAUCAGGAGUUAUGUGCGUGUGGCAAAUACACAAUAAAGUCGACAGCCAUUUC